rnacentral:ncRNA from 1 species
AGAUAGAGGCGCAAGAGUUAAGAAUUCUUUUAUAAUAGAUGCAACUAAAAAGAAGGAGGAGCGAUUGCCGAAGGAAUUAUGGUUUGCAUGUCAUGAUUUCCUGGGGGUAUAGAGAAUAUCUAUGCCACUGUCACUUUAAAAUAUUAAAGUGGGGUGCUAUUGC